rnacentral:lncRNA from 1 species
GCUAGGACACAUUUCGCUGUUCGCUUCUCUUGUAUUUCUUCCUCCUCUCUUCGAAAACCCUCCUCCGUCAAUGGCGGCGACGACAGCGUUCCCUGACAACCUAACGAGAGAACAGUAUGUCUACAUGGCAAAGCUGGCAGAGCAAGCCGAACGGUACGAAGAGAUGGUGAAAUUCAUGGAAAAGCUCGUCAUCGGACUAACGCCGGUGUCUGAGCUCACUGUCGAGGAGCGUAACCUACUCUCCGUGGCGUACAAGAACGUCAUCGGCUCACUCCGGGCGGCUUGGCGCAUCGUCUCAUCGAUCGAACAAAAAGAGGAGUCACGGAAGAAUGAUGAUCAUGUAGUGUUAGUGAAGGACUACCGAUCUAAGGUCGAGGACGAACUU